AGUGAACGCUGGCGGUAGGCCUAACACAUGCAAGUCGAACGGCAGCACAGUAAGAGCUUGCUCUUACGGGUGGCGAGUGGCGGACGGGUGAGGAAUACAUCGGAAUCUACUUUUUCGUGGGGGCUAACGUAGGGAAACUUACGCUAAUACCGCAUACGACCUACGGGUGAAAGCAGGGGAUCUUCGGACCUUGCGCGAUUGAAUGAGCCGAUGUCGGAUUAGCUAGUUGGCGGGGUAAAGGCCCACCAAGGCGACGAUCCGUAGCUGGUCUGAGAGGAUGAUCAGCCACACUGGAACUGAGACACGGUCCAGACUCCUACGGGAGGCAGCAGUGGGGAAUAUUGGACAAUGGGCGCAAGCCUGAUCCAGCCAUACCGCGUGGGUGAAGAAGGCCUUCGGGUUGUAAAGCCCUUUUGCUGGGAAAGAAAAGCAGCAGGUUAAUACCCCGCUGUUCUGACGGUACCCAAAGAAUAAGCACCGGCUAACUUCGUG
rnacentral:rRNA from 1 species